CAGUAGCCGCGGUAAUACGAAGGGGGCUAGCGUCGUUCGGAAUUACUGGGCGUAAAGCGCACGUGGGCGGAUAUUUAAGUCAGGGGUGAAAUCCCAGAGCUCAACUCUGGAACUGCCUUUGAUACUGGGUAUCUUGAGUAUGGAAGAGGUGAGUGGAAUUCCGAGUGUAGAGGUGAAAUUCGUAGAUAUUCGGAGGAACACCAGUGGCGAAGGCGGCUCACUGGUCCAUUACUGACGCUGAGGUGCGAAAGCGUGGGGAGCAAACAGGAUUAGAUACCCCUGUAGUCCCUGUCUCUUAUAC
rnacentral:rRNA from 1 species